UACAGAGGGUGCAAGCGUUAAUCGGAAUUACUGGGCGUAAAGCGUGCGUAGACGGUCAUGUAAGUCUGUCGUGAAAGCCCCGGGCUCAACCUGGGAAUGGCGAUGGAUACUGGCGGGCUAGAGUGCGGUAGAGGGUGGUGGAAUUCCCGGUGUAGCAGUGAAAUGCGUAGAGAUCGGGAGGAACAUCAGUUGCGAAGGCGGCCACCUGGACCAGCACUGACACUGAGGCACGAAAGCGUGGGGAGCAAACAGG
rnacentral:rRNA from 1 species